rnacentral:misc_RNA from 1 species
AAAAAAACACACACAAAAAUAGUAAGAAAAGAAAAAUGCGCAUAAUCGGAGAACGCUGGCCCAGGUAAACGUUCUGUCAAUGAAAUUAAAAAAAGAGAUCGGUGAAACGCCUCCGUGGUGCGCAGCAGCAGCAGCAGCGCCAGCGCUGGAGGCGCACUCCCAGGUGCCUCUGGGCAAGAACGGAUUUUGUGUACUGAAUGACACCCGUGCCAGAGUACGGCGUGGAACAGGGAACGGAUCGCACUGUUACAGUCUUUCGACUUAUAUAUCGAAAUUUUUGAGGUGCAUACUGUUGCGAUUCGGAUUGGAACAAAGCGAGAUUCGGGAUCCCCACGUCGUUCCGGGACUCUCUGGUAAGGUACGGAGUGGUGUAUUCGACACUUGGCAGCUGGAAUGCUUAACGUCACCGGAAUCAAUAUGAAUCGGGAUAUUCUCGAACAGAAUUUCGUUCAAUAACUGACAUUCUGAUUUCGUGCACAUGAACAAGGCUUCAGGUAUCUCCUUUCAUUCGGUGCAGCCUGCUCAGAUCAUGCAUCUUCAAUUUCGAGGCAACGCGUAUGCGCAGCAAUUCGCGCCGCUGGAUUGACGGGGCGAGAUACGCAACAGCUUCGCCUGGUGACUGAUUCAAAAGCUCAUGCCGAAAAUACAAUAGACUUGUAUCGUCAAUUUAUCGAUUCGGCCUGAAUGCGAAAUCCUCGUCUCUCUCUGCGGACGCCCAAAAUACGGCAUUCGACGGCAGCGCCAUGAUACGUCGCCCGGGAGAUGCUCCCAGAGGCUCCGGUCUCUUCUGUUUGCAUGGAAUAGAGUCUCAGAGGCACACUCCCGUCAUCGCAGCGAUCGCUUCCAGUGAAAUGCCGGUACCGCUGGCGGCGAUACGUGGUAUGAACCUCGAACCCGCAUCGCAGUACGCGCCCCAGCGGCAAGCGCGAUCUCGCUGGUGCCGUGAUCCGUCUGCGCUCGAAUACGGCGAAUGCGCUGGUGCCGGCGUGAAUAUUCGAUAAAGUACUGGUCGUGUUUCUGGACGUGAAAGGCGGCGUGCCGAGCGCUGACUUGGGCGCUUCCCGGCGCGAAAUACUUGCACACCGGGCAGCAACUCUUCGCAGAUGAAAGAGCUCCGUGCCGCCGGUAGUGCUCCUCGGCCUGAUUUGCAUAGGGUAUGGGCCCCAGCGAAGCAACUCGACCAACAUGCAUACGCUGCUCGCACUGCCUCGCACGGGUGAUGAUAUGGAUCGGUUCCUUACUGCGGGACCGGUGUGUGAGCAUCUCUGCAGAGCGUGGCUCCACGUACUGUACGCGGCGCCCAGGAUACAAACCAUCUGGGGUAUUUGGAGCCGCCGAUGUGCCGGCGCUCAUUUCACGGGGCGAAGCGGUCCAGACUACCGAUCCCAUCUUUUGGUACUUUUACGCUACUGCAUCCACGCCAAAGAUAGUCUCAAUGAAUUCAAAGCAUUAUUGGCGCCGGCCUGCGCGACUGGACCUGACCAGGACCCAAGUCAAAAUGUGCAGGCGUGCAUGAAACGCCUGCACUGGGUCUUCCAAGCGCCAGGCGAACGCGAAGCAGUGGUAGCGCUCGCGCCAUCCGUUGCAUAGCCCGCGUUCUGAGAUAUCGAAGUGCGCCUUGACUGCAUGGGAUGCCAACGGGCUGCUGCCCCCGCGAUCAGUGCACUGCAGAUGCCCGCUGGUCCCGUCAUGACCUGAGAAAAAAGCACGCCUAUCACGUUGAAUCGAUGCGCUUCAGAACUGCAUCCAGCUGCGCGUCGCGAAUUGUGCGAAAUGUCGUACCUUUCUCCUGCAAGAGACGCGACCGAUCGGCCAGAAUGGUUGCGAGACCGACCAUCGCUGCCUCGAACGCAAACGGUGCGUCAUCUAUGAUGGAUUUCUGCAGUUGAAGCACGUUCUUCUCGGCCUCACGGAACUUCAUCUCCGCCUCAUACAUGAGAUCACGAACGCGUUGCAGCUUAGGCUCGGGAGUGUUCGCCUUUUCCUUGUCAUCGACCACAGCCCGUCUUGCGUCGUAGUCUUUCGCCAGGUUCUCCAUCUUGGAUGACUUUUGCUUGCACUCUGCAAGCCGCUUACGGAACUCUUUCAGGUAACUGAGAAUCUUACUCGAGGGGGACGCUUUUUCCGCCGUCAGCGUUUGGCGCAACUCGUUCCCGACCUCCUCGCUGGACUUUGCCAGCUUCUCUGACGUAUCCUUGACGUUCUCACUGCUUGAUUCAGGUAGAGCGCCGCUGAGAUCGGAUGCGAACGCUUUCAAGACGUCACCCAACCGAACCCAGUUUGAUUGAACCGCUUCGAGGUCGCGAAUGAGACGCCCCAGUGAGCUCUCAAUCGCGUUCACUUUCCUCUUGUUCUCUUCAUACUCGGGAAGGGGCGUUCGAUCGAAGCUCUGGAAAGUACGUUUGGCACAAAAGCACGACAGGGCCAUUUUUGAGCAGUCGCAACUUCACUACGGACGGUUACUGAGGUGCGUUGAAGCGAACGCUGGUGCGGUUCGACAGGGCGUUCCUCUGCGUAAGCCUCAUCGAGCGUGUCUGAUCGGGUCGCGCGCCAGCUGGCAUCGUCAGGCGUGUCCGGUGCAAUGCUGGGCAGCGAUCGCCUGCUGGACAAUAUUGGACAUCGUGCCCGGGCGGAGAUGUGUUCCAUCGGAGCACCCGGCAAUGUCGGGUACCGAUGCAACGCGUACGGUUAUCCUGCGGUCCCUCUGGUGCAACACUCUUGUAUCGAACUGGUCCCGGGGGAGCGCGAACACUGCCAGUAUCCAGGCGAGUCGACCCUUCUUAUUUUUUAGAGGCCAUUUGGCUUUCCAUCGACCGCAGAACGAUGUUUGUCCAUGACGUAGAGGCUUAACACAACGAACCUGCGGGGUCCCGAGCCCGCUACAGGUGCUCACUGCGACGCUGGGGGUGCGUCGCCAAUGUUGCUAGACGAAGACACGACGGCUUCACGAUUGCGCAACGUGCAUCGGCUUGAGUGCGUACGCGGGCAGACGCUUGUUUCGCUUUCAGGCAACACGAGGGGAUUUCACCCGAUGGCAUGCGCGUCACGCGCGUUUCGGCUUCUCUGGGUUAACUGAGUCUGGAAUACGGUCGAGACUGGCGCCGCUUGCAGGGAUCAAGACCCUGGUUCCCGAUUGCCGAGGGAGAUUUCUGCAAAAUCUUCGUAUGGCAUGUCGGGCUGGAGGUCUCAAUUCUUUCGCUUUGCGGCACUCGUCAAUCUCGCGUUUUCGUGGGUAUCUCCCGAAACUCUGCUUCAAUGCAGAACGUAUACAUGGAUGUGUCUAAGCCAUGCUGAGCGACGCACAUGUGCGUCUUCUGAAAUACGAACAAAUCGCAAAGUCUGAGCUUGGAAUUUCAAGUUCGCGAUAGACAUGCUUGAUUCAGUUUUCGACAGUACGAUUUUCGAUAGUUGCAUGGCGUAUUUAAAAGGUCU